UCUGGCUCCAGGAUGAACGCUGGCGGGAUGCCUUACACAUGCAAGUCGAACGGCAGCGGGAAAGUAGCUUGCUACUUUUGCCSGBSGAGUACAGUGGACGAACGGGUGAGUAAUGUAUCGGAACGUGCCCAGUAGCGGGGGAUAACUACGCGAAAGCGUGGCUAAUACCGCAUACGCCCUACGGGGGAAAGGGGGGGAUCUUAGGACCUCUCACUAUUGGAGCGGCCGAUAUCGGAUUAGCUAGUUGGUGGGGUAAAGGCCUACCAAGGCGACGAUCCGUAGCUGGUUUGAGAGGACGACCAGCCACACUGGGACUGAGACACGGCCCAGACUCCUACGGGAGGCAGCAGUGGGGAAUUUUGGACAAUGGGGGAAACCCUGAUCCAGCCAUCCCGCGUGUGCGAUGAAGGCCUUCGGGUUGUAAAGCACUUUUGUCAGGGAAGAAAAGGUUUCGGAUAAUACCCGGAACUGAUGACGGUACCUGAAGAAUAAGCACCGGCUAACUACGUGCCAGCAGCCGCGGUAAUACGUAGGGUGCAAGCGUUAAUCGGAAUUACUGGGCGUAAAGCGUGCGCAGGCGGUUCGGAAAGAAAGAUGUGAAAUCCCAGGGCUCAANCUUGGAACUGCAUUUUUAACUACCGAACUAGAGUAUGUCAGAGGGGGGUGGAAUUCCACGUGUAGCAGUGAAAUGCGUAGAUAUGUGGAGGAACACCGAUGGCGAAGGCAGCCCCCUGGGAUAAUACUGACGCUCAUGCACGAAAGCGUGGGGAGCAAACAGGAUUAGAUACCCUGGUAGUCCACGCCCUAAACGAUGUCAACUAGCUGUUGGGCCCUUCGGGGCUUAGUAGCGCAGCUAACGCGUGAAGUUGACCGCCUGGGGAGUACGGUCGCAAGAUUAAAACUCAAAGGAAUUGACGGGGACCCGCACAAGCGGUGGAUGAUGUGGAUUAAUUCGAUGCAACGCGAAAAACCUUACCUACCCUUGACAUGUCUGGAAUCCUGAAGAGAUUUAGGAGUGCUCGCAAGAGAACCGGAACACAGGUGCUGCAUGGCUGUCGUCAAGCUCGUGUCGUGAGAURUGUGGGUUAAGUCCCGCAACGAGCGCAACCCUUGUCAUUAGUUGCUACAUUUAGUUGAGCACUCUAAUGAGACUGCCGGUGACAAACCGGAGGAAGGUGGGGAUGACGUCAAGUCCUCAUGGCCCUUAUGGGUAGGGCUUCACACGUCAUACAAUGGUCGGGACAGAGGGUUGCCAAACCGCAAGGUGGAGCUAAUCUCAUAAACCCGAUCGUAGUCCGGAUUGCAGGCUGCAACUCGCCUGCAUGAAGUCGGAAUCGCUAGUAAUCGCGGAUCAGCAUGUCGCGGUGAAUACGUUCCCGGGUCUUGUACACACCGCCCGUCACACCAUGGGAGUGGGUUUUACCAGAAGUAGUUAGCCUAACCGCAAGGGGGGCGAUUACCACGGUAGGAUUCAUGACUGGGGUGAAGUCGUAACAAGGUAGCCGUAUCGGAAGGUGCGGCUGGAUACCCUCCUUAA
rnacentral:rRNA from 1 species